CGUGCAGGCGGUUUGGUAAGUUGGGCGUGAAAGCUCCCGGCUCAACUGGGAGAGGUCGUCCAAAACUACCAGACUAGAGAGCGAUAGAGGAAAAUGGAAUUCCCGGUGUAGUGGUGAAAUGCGUAGAUAUUGGGAGGAACACCAGUGGCGAAGGCGAUUUUCUGGAUCGUUUCUGACGCUCAGACGCGAAAGCUAGGGUAGCAAACG
rnacentral:rRNA from 1 species